UUAAGUUCAGCGGGUAUCCCUACCUGAUCCGAGGUCAAACCUUGAAUGUUUGGUGGUACGGGCAGGCGUCGGUCCGCGCCGCGAGCGUGUGACGAAAAGUCCCCAUACGCUCUGGCUGAUCGGAUUACCGCGACGCCGCCACUGCCUUUCAGGCCCGUCUGCAGGGGAGCAGACGCGGUGGCCCAUCACACAAGCCGUGC
rnacentral:misc_RNA from 1 species